rnacentral:rRNA from 1 species
UAGUGGCGAACGGGUGCGUAACACGUGGGCAAUCUGCCUUAAAGUGGGGGAUAGCUCGGCGAAAGCCGAAUUAAUACCGCAUGUGAUCAGGGGAGACAUCUUCCCGAAAUCAAAAGUGGCGCAAGCUACUGCUUUUUGAGGAGCCCGCGGCCUAUCAGCUAGUUGGCGAGGUAACGGCUCACCAAGGCUUUGACGGGUAGCUGGUCUGAGAGGACGACCAGUCACACUGGGACUGAGACACGGUCCAGACACCUACGGGUGGCAGCAGUCGAGAAUUUUUCUCAAUGGGGGAAACCCUGAAGGAGCGACGCCGCGUGGAGGAUGAAGGUCUUCGGGUUGUAAACUCCUGUCAUUUGGGAACAAGUUGCACACGUUAACUGCGUGGGCAUUGAUAGUACCAGAAGAGGAAGAGACGGCUAACUCUGUGCCAGCAGCCGCGGUAAUACAGAGGUCUCAAGCGUUGUUCGGAUUCAUUGGGCGUAAAGGGUGCGUAGGUGGCGCCAUAAGUCGGGUGUGAAAUUUCGGAGCUUAACUCCGAAACUGCAUUCGAUACUGUGGUGCUUGAGGACUGGAGAGGAGACUGGAAUUUACGGUGUAGCAGUGAAAUGCGUAGAGAUCGUAAGGAAGACCAGUGGCGAAGGCGGGUCUCUGGACAGUUCC